rnacentral:lncRNA from 1 species
AUGCCACCUGGGCCCUCAGCCUGCUUUCUGAGCAGUCAGUCACCAAGCAGUCUGAUUGUUCUUUGUAAUGAGAAGCCUGACUGCAGACAGCUUUUGAGACUUCCCAUACCCUCUUCCUUCUGCCCACAUCUGGAGAAGCUGAUAAGAAAGCCUUUGUGUGUUCCUUCCUUUGGUGCCAGUUGGAGAUUCAAACCACAGGAAUUCAAACCUACCUGCAGGAGGGGACCCUCACCCUGGCCCUACCCCUUAGCCACAGUGACAGCCAGGAGGAUUUGCUUUCCUUGCCCUCUGACCUCAUUUCCGACUUGCUGGAGACACCUGGCCUGCUCUCCUCAGAGACCUCCGUUAGGUAAGUAAUCAACCAUUCCACAGCCUCUGGUUAUCUUCAACUUUGGCUGGGGAUCCACCUGCCUCUUUAGAGGACCAUAACACUUAUUUCAUUAAUUUUACCCUGAAGUGUUUAAUUGUUCUUUGUUUUAUUUUGUUUUGUUUUCUAACUCUGCUUAGGCCUUUUUGGACCUAUAGCUUGAUGCUUUUAUCAUCAGUUUUGAAAAAUUCUCAGCCAUAAUCUUGCCAAGUAUUGCUCCAGUGCAGUUCUCUGUAACCUCUCUUUUUGGGAUUCCAUUAAAUACAUGUCAGUCUUUCUCACUUUUUUCUGACUCUUUUUCUAUAUUUUUAUCCUUUUCUCUCUCAUGUUUCACUUUGGAUAUUUUCUUCUGUUCUUGCUUCCAGUUCAAUAAUUCUUUUUCAUCAGUGUCUAAGCGUUAAGUUCUUGAUUUUGCCAAUUAAAAUUUUCAGUUUAAGAAUUUUGACUGAGUUCUAUUUUAUAAUUUCUAGUUUUCUUCUCAAAUCCUCAAUCUUGUGUUUUAUCUCCUUGAAUAUAUUAGGAUGGUUAUUUUGAAGUUUGUGUUUGGGAACUCAAUGAUCUUAAACCCUUCUAGGCUGUUUCAAGUACUUCUUGUUUCUCUAGGUUUAGGUUUCUUCCUUCUUCACUUCCAUAUGCUUUAAGUUCUUGUGUGCCCUGUGGAAGAAUUGGCUUGAAUUACCUAAUCUAUAAAAGUGGAAGACUGAGUCUCUGAUGAUUAUUUUAUCUUCAUCCCUAAUGUUCAGUGACUCCAUCGGAAUAGAAUUUACUGAUGAAUAUUUUGCAAUCAACUCCUCUCUAGCCCAAUAUUCCUCAGGGCAUAGUAUUUCUUUAUUCCAGGCAAGUUUACUUUUACUAUUGUUAUAUACUAUUCUACCAUUGUGAGUGUGUGUGCAUAUAUAUAUUCAAUAUACACACUUGUACAUACAUAUAAAAAGGUUCUAUUCUGUGUUAUCUAUAUUAUAAUUAUUACUAAUAUUAACCAAUAAUAUA